rnacentral:rRNA from 1 species
UGAGUGCGAGCGGCUACGGCCGCGAAGUGGGUGAUGUCAAGCUUCCAAGAAAAGCCCUAUACCCGUUAAGGCAUGAUGGCCUGUACCCGAAACCGACACAGGUGGGGUGGUAGAGAAUACCGAGGGGCGCGAGGUAACUCUCUCUAAGGAACUCGGCAAAAUGGCCCCGUAACUUCGGGAGAAGGGGUGCCACCGCAAGGUGGUCGCAGUGAAGAGGCCCAGGCGACUGUUUACCAAAAACACAGGUCUCCGCUAAGUCGCAAGACGAUGUAUGGGGGCUGACGCCUGCCCAGUGCCGGAAGGUUAAGGAAGCUGGUCAGCGCAAGCGAAGCUGGCGACUGAAGCCCCGGUGAACGGCGGCCGUAACUAUAACGGUCCUAAGGUAGCGAAAUUCCUUGUCGGGUAAGUUCCGACCCGCACGAAAGGCGUAACGAUCUGGGCGCUGUCUCGGAGAGAGGCUCGGCGAAAUAGAAUUGUCUGUGAAGAUGCGGACUACGUGCACCCGGACAGAAAGACCCUAUGAAGCUUUACUGUAGCUUGGUAUUGUGCCCGGGCUCUGAAUGCGCAGGAUAGGUGGGAGGCUUUGAUCCAUGGCUUGCGGGUCAUGGUGAGCCAACGGUGAGAUACCACUCUUUCAGAGCUAGGGUUCUAACGGUCACCCGUCAUCCGGGGACCGGACAGUAUCGGGUGGGCAGUUCGACUGGGGCGGUCGCCUCCUAAAAGGUAACGGAGGCGCGCAAAGGUUUGCUCAGGCUGGUUGGAAAUCAGCCGACGAGUGCAAAAGCAGAAGCAAGCUUGACUGUGAGACCUACAAGUCGAACAGGGACGAAAGUCGGCUUUAGUGAUCCGACGGUUCUGAGUGGAAGGGCCGUCGCUCAACGGAUAAAAGUUACUCUAAGGAUAACAGGCUGAUCUCCCCCAAGAGUUCACAUCGACGGGGAGGUUUGGCACCUCGAUGUCGGCUCAUCGCAACCUGGGGCUGAAGUCGGUCCCAAGGGUUGGGCUGUUCGCCCAUUAAAGCGGUACGCGAGCUGGGUUCAGAACGUCGUGAGACAGUUCGGUCCAUAUCCGGUGCACGCGCAGGAACAUUGAGAGGAUUUCUCCCUAGUACGAGAGGACCGGGAGGAACGCACCUCUGGUGUGCCAGUUAUCGUGCCAACGGUAAACGCUGGGUAGCCAUGUGCGGAGUGGAUAACCGCUGAAAGCAUCUAAGUGGGAAGCCCACCUCAAGAUGAGUGUUCCCAUGGCAUAAGCCAGUAAGGUCACGGGAAGAACACCCGUUGAUAGGCUCUACGUGGAAGCCGGGUAACCGGUGAAGCGGAGGAGUACUAAUAGACCGAGGGC